rnacentral:rRNA from 1 species
CCAAUAGCGUAUAUUAAAGUUGUUGCAGUUAAAAAGCUCGUAGUUGAAUUUUGGGUUUGGCCGAUUGGUCCGUUCUUGUAACGAGUACUGGUCGGUUGGGCCUCACCGCCUGGUGAUGCGUAAUGUCCUUAUUGGGUGUUGCGAGGAGCCAGGACCUUUACCUUGAAAAAAUUAGAGUGUUUAAAGCAGGCCUUUGCCGGAAUACAUUAGCAUGGAAUAAUAGAAUAGGACGUUGAUUCUAUUUUGUUGGUUUCUAGGACCAUCGUAAUGAUUAAUAGGGAUAGUUGGGGGCAUUAGUAUUCAAUUGUCAGAGGUGAAAUUCUUGGAUUUAUUGAAGACUAACUACUGCGAAAGCAUUUGCCAAGGAUGUUUUCAUUAAUCAAGAACGAAAGUUAGGGGAUCGAAGACGAUCAGAUACCGUCGUAGUCUUAACCAUAAACUAUGCCGACUAGGGAUCGGGCGAUGUUGUUUCAAUGACUCGCUCGGCACCUUAUG